CGCGGCCUAUCAGCUUGUUGGUGGAGUAACAGCCCACCAAGGCAACGACGGGUAGCUGGUCUGAGAGGACGAUCAGCCACACUGGGACUGAGACACGGCCCAGACUCCUACGGGAGGCUGCAGUGGGGAAUAUUGCGCAAUGGGCGAAAGCCUGACGCAGCAACGCCGCGUGGGGGAUGAGGGCUUUCGGGUUGUAAACCCCUUUCGGCAGGGACGAAACUGACGGUACCUGCAGAAGAAGCCCCGGCCAACUACGUGCCAGCAGCCGCGGUAACACGUAGGGGGCAAGCGUUGUCCGGAUUUAUUGGGCGUAAAGGGCUCGUAGGCGGUUGCGUAAGUCGGAUGUGAAAACUCAGGGCUCAACCCGGAGAUGCCAUCCGAUACUGCGCUGACUAGAGUCCGGUAGAGGAGCAUGGAAUUCUUGGUGUAGCGGUGAAAUGUGCAGAUAUCAGGAGGAACACCAGUAGCGAAGGCGGUGCUCUGGGCCGGUACUGACGCUGAGGAGCGAAAGCGUGGGUAGCAAACAGGAUUAGAUACCCUGGUAGUCCACGCCGUAAACGGUGGGCACUAGGUGUGGGACCUACACAACGGGUUCUGUACCGUAGCUAACGCAUUAAGUGCCCCGCCUGGGGAGUACGG
rnacentral:rRNA from 1 species